CCUACGGGUGGCAGCAGUGAGGAAUAGUGGUCAAUGGCCGGAAGGCUGAACCAGCCAAGCCGCGUGAGGGAGGAAGGCGCAGAGCGUCGCAGACCUCUUUUGCCGGGGGACAAAAGGCCGGACGCGUCCGGUCCUGAGGGUACCCGGAGAAAAAGCAGCGGCUAACUCCGUGACAGCAGCCGCGGUAAUACGGAGGAUGCGAGCGUUAUCCGGAUUCAUGGGGUUUCAAGGGUGCGCAGGCGGGCCUUUAAGCCGGCGGUGAACUCGCGGGGCUCAACCCCGCCGAGCCGUCGGAACUGGGGGCCUUGAGUGCGGCGGAGGCCUGCGGAAUGCGCGGUGUAGCGGUUAAAUGCAUAGCUCUCGCGCAGAACCCCGAUUGCGACGGCAGCGUGCCGUGCCGCCCCUGACGCUGAGGCACGACAGCGCGGGGAUCGAACAGGAUUAGAUCCCCUUGUAGUC
rnacentral:rRNA from 1 species